rnacentral:rRNA from 1 species
GACGAACGCUGGCGGCGUGCUUAACACAUGCAAGUCGAGCGGAAAGGCCACUUCGGUGGUACUCGGGCGGCGAACGGGUGAGUAACACGUGAGUAAUCUGCCCCUGGCUUUGGGAUAGCCACCGGAAACGGUGAUUAAUACCGGAUACGACCACUUCUCGCAUGGGAUGGUGGUGGAAAGUUUUUUCGGCCAGGGAUGUGCUCGCGGCCUAUCAGCUUGAUGGUGAGGUAAUGGCUCACCAUGGCUUCGACGGGUAGCCGGCCUGAGAGGGUGACCGGUCACACUGGGACUGAGCCACGGCCCAGCCUCCUACGGGAGGCAGCAGUGGGGAAUAUUGGACAAUGGGCGGAAGCCUGAUCCAGCAACGCCGCGAGAGGGAUGACGGCCUUCGGGUUGUAAACCUCUUUCAGCAGGGACGAAGCGCAAGUGACGGUACCUGCAGAAGAAGCACCGGCCAACUACGUGCCAGCAGCCGCCGUAA